UACGGAGGGUGCAAGCGUUAUCCGGAAUUACUGGGUUUAAAGGGUGCGUAGGCGGCUUGAUAAGUCAGGGGUGAAAGCCCGCAGCUUAACUGCGGACCUGCCUUUGAUACUGUCGAGCUUGAAAGAGGUUGAGGUCAGCGGAACGUGACAUGUAGCGGUGAAAUGCAUAGAUAUGUAACAGAACACCGAUUGCGAAGGCAGCUGGCUGGACCUACUUUGACGCUGAGGCACGAAAGCGUGGGGAGCGAACAGG
rnacentral:rRNA from 1 species